GGUCCGCUGAGGUGGGAACGGCCGCCCCACGCCCCCGUAGCGGGGAGAGUAGCCGCAAGGUGAAAGAGAUUCCGGAGUGGCACCCGGACUCGGACA
rnacentral:ncRNA from 18 species